rnacentral:lncRNA from 1 species
UGGGGAAAAAGGGUGUUUAUUAACCAACGGCAGGGGGAGGAGCUGAGCCCAGGCUCCCCACUCUGUCACAUGCCUGUUCCACCCACCUGGUUGUAAGUGGGGGCAUUCCUAAAGAAGUGUAGCCAUUCUCACAAUAAAUACAUUCAUUGUGGGGUGGAGGUGGGAGAGAUGACUAGAUUUUCCACAGACUGGGACUCCCUGAACACUUGUGUCUCUUCAAUAAUGUGCAUCCCAGAGCCCAGGACUACGGCCUUGUGGAUCCAGCCAUCAGCUGGUAUGGAAAGAGCAGAGAGUUAGACCCCAACUAUGGGAUCUGCUCUCAGCACCCUGCAAGAGGCCUAAUACGAACAGCUCAGGAGUCCUGAGGUCCAGAACAAGGACUCAGCCAGGAGCAGUGGACCCUCAGGACACUGGGAACUCCAGACUAGUCAUGGCAGGAAUUAAUGGAUUCAGAAGCAUUAGUGAUCAGGGCCAACAGGGAUCAGGGAUUGGGAUCAGAAGCACCUGUGCCCAGAAAGAGCAGGUCAUAGGUAGGUCCAGCAGGCGUGGUGACAGGUGUCCCUGUAAGGUGUGUGUAGCGUAUGUUGCGCUUGAGCAGCAGGGGCCGUCCACGUGUGGGCACAACGGGCCGAGCCAUCAGUGGGUGCAACUUUACAAAGUCCAGGACCAGGGAUGGCAAGUCUUGGGAUGAAUUGUAGCCUUGGCUGCGCAAUGAAUCUGUGAUACACUGGCGUGGGGGACGAAGGUGGUGAACCUCGGGACUCCACCACCUGCCUGCCCUCUCCACAAGGCCAGACCCUUUGACCCUUCCCUGGGCUCUGUCUACUCAGCACUGGCCCCAGGCCUGGGCACUCACCGAGCCAGGCCGGGGCUCAGGCACCCCACCCUCAUAGCGACCCCAGCGCCGGGAACCAUCCUGGUAUUCCAUAUAGGGUCCUGCAAAGACAGCCUGGAUCUCUGCCAGGUCAUAGCGGCAGAUGGCUGAGGCCUCCAGGGUCUUCCUAGAAUGGGACAUAGGGCAAGGGGGGUGAGUUACAUGGAGUCAAGCCUGCCCCCCAACUCGUGCUCAGCCUGAAGCUCACUGUUACCCUGGCCAACCCCAGCUAUAGUCCCACAGGGCCUCUCCUGUGAGUCAGUGGACCACUGCAUUCAUUCUCUGGCUCUAGCCUAGCUUGAUGUGCUUAAAAUUCUCACUUUGCCAGCACUUUGAGAGGCCGAGGCGAGCAGAUCACGAGGUCAAGAGAUCGAGACCAUCCUGGGCAACACAGUGAAACCCCAUCUCUAUUAAAAAUACAAAAAUUAGCCAGGCGUGGUGGCACACGCCUAUAGUCCCAGCUACUCGGGAGGCCGAGGCAGGAUAAUCACUUGAACCCGGGAGGCGGAGAUUGCAGUGAGCCGAGAUCGCGCCACUGCACUCCAGCCUGGCAACAGAGCAAGACUCCCUCUUAAAAAAAAAAAAAAAUUCUCACUUUGCAGCCAGACCUCCCCACAGUGGAUCCUAUCUCAUCCUCAUUGACCUCUGCUCCAGCCCCUAUGCUGUCCGCAGUUUCUUGCCUCCCGAUUGUCCCUGCACUGACCACUGUGUGCUCAGCGUGAAGGCUGCAUAGAAGUGUGUACGGCUUGAGGUUUCAGCAUCCAGGCUGCAGACCCCACGCAGUGUCUCAUACAGUGGAAUGUGGCAGAUGAGACGGGCUUUCAGGAAGGAAGUCCACUUCUUCUGCAGGAUCUUCUUCCCUCCCAGGUCUCCCUGGGGAGGUAGAGGCACGGGAUAAGGGGCCAGGGUCAGAGGUCCAGCCUCUAUACCCGUGCCCCAACGUCAGCCCAAUCCACCUUGCAGACACGAGCCACACGGGCCACACGGUGACUGCUGCGGCUCUGAGUGAAGCUGCCAGAGCCCUCCUCAGUGGCACGCUCCGUGAAGAAGUAGUACACCUUGUCAUCAUCACCCACUGCACUGGCCUUGCUCUCCCGCACGAGGACGGAGAACACAAACUCCGCAUCUGUGGGUCAGGCAGUUUGAGAGGCUUUUGAGACAGGCUGGGGAUUCCUUUCCCUCACUCUGAGGCUGACCCCUCACUUGACAACACACAGGAAUGGAAUGGACAGGCUCACCUGGGGAUUUGGGGGUGGGGUGGUCAGCUGGCCAAGGGAGUAAAAAUGAAGAAAUAGUCCCCUACCCCCCAUCAUCCUGUGCCUCAUCCUCCUAACCAUUGAGCCAAUGCAUUGGUGUCUCCUCAGUUCUCAGGGAGUGUGGGUGGCGGCUCCGGCGGAUGUCAGGAAUGCUCCGGAAUUCAUACCUAGUGGCUGUGUAGAGGCCUCCAUCUGGCGUGGGGAUAUUCCAGGCAUGAGAGACAUGUCAUAUUCAACAGGGCACAUGACAUAUACAUGGUGGCAGGUCCUAGAGAUGAGAUCCACAUCCUAAAAAUACCAUGUCUGUGAUAGGGAAGAAGGCCUGCUCACCAAUGAUGAGGCCUGUGAAGCCACGGGCUGGGUCAUAAGGACACUUCUCCUUCCCCUCCUCGAAGCUGGUUGGCAAGGUGAAGGCCUCAGCAUCCUAGGGAACAAGGAACCAGCAGUAAGUGGUUCCGAAGACAGGCAGGGACAGUGGCUCAAAGUCAGAUCAGUCUGGGGUCAGGGAUCAGCGAUCAGGGAUAGGGGCAGGUUGUAUGGCAGAUGCACCUGACAGCAAUAACUUAAGCAUCCCCUGAGAAUGACCUUAUGGCCUCAAAACAAUGUAUGUUUGGAGUUCCAAAUCUGCAAGUGGCCAACCUAGAGAUUCACUCCUUAUCUAUGAAGAACAUCUGAGCCCCUAGCCCAUCCUGUGGAACACAUGCUGUCCAGGGGAUCAAGGCCCUUUGUUUUGGGUUAAAUGAAGUUUGCCAGGUGGAGGUGAUUAGGGGGAGGAUGCUAAGUGAAAAUGCUAUAAAAACUGCAUGGUUUUUACAAAGGGGAAUGGUUCUCCAGUGCAGCCCGCCGCCACUGGAGUGCCCUGUAUGGAAGUCCCCUUAAUAAACCAUCCGUCUCCUUCACUGGCU